AGCAUUAAGAAGGCUGCUUACUCUCUUUCAAGUAAGAAGGGUGGAAGAAUAUUCUUCUUACUUCUUAAAGAUAUACAAUGCCUCUAUUUUUCUAUCCCAAUCUUCCCCAAAGGCAAAAAAGGAAUUUCUUUGUACUUUGCUAAAGACAUAAUGCAGCAAAACUCCUUUUUAAUUCUCAGGUCAUCAAGAACGCAGUGGAUGUGGAUGUGUUCAGAUCACAUACACUUGUUAAUUUCAUUUCUAUGGAGUUCAGAGGACAGGCAAAUGGGCUGCCCCCGCAAAGGAUCAAGGGAACAAGAUCUUGCAGAGAAGCAGAAACUGAGUCUGACCCGAUGGUCUGAGGAGGAGCUUUCCCAGGGCAGAAGUGGAAGCAAAACAAGUAGUUUUAUUUGGUGAACAGGAAAGACCAAUGGAAGUUUCCCAGAAAUAAGGUUCGCCAUUGCUUAAUUUAAAGGAGAGAUUUCCCCAGCAAGUUCCCCAGGUCUGUUGCUGCUGGGGGUGGAGAUCUGUCUUCAGGCACCUGGACAUCUUCCACUCCCAGCAAGGUCAGGUGGUUCCACAGAUGAAACGGAUCUACACGAAGUGUUCUCUCUGCCGGAAAAGUCUACUGCCUGCCUAUGUUGACUUGACUUAUUUAUUCAUUUUGGUGUAAUACGGAAGCUCUCUCUCUAGUUUUCCAAGGUAGUGGCAAAAAUUGCAAAGAUAAUUUUAGUUUUCAUCUUGAUGAGUUAAGGGAAAACUAUGGCAAAACAAAUGUGCUUAAAAACCCAAACCUGAGUCAAAUAAAUAAAUAAAUAUGAUGACAAACUGAAAUUAUGAAUGGUCCCUUGUUGGCUUUCUUGUGAAAGUCUCUAGGUCUCAAACUUGUCAUUGCAAAGGAUAGAAGGCCACUUAUGUCCUCUUCUUUUAUUGUGAUACCUUUUUAUAUGUAUUUUCUCCAUUCCUAUUUUUCCCUUCUACUCUUUUUUUUGGCUUAUUAUAUAUAAUUACAAUAAAUGAGGAUAAAUAUUUUGGGAUCUGAAUUUCAAAGAACUAUGUUUUGUCUUCACAAUGAAACAAAGUAACACAAAACCAGAGCCGUCCAAAUUUCUUUAUAAAAUCAGACAAGAAGAAAAAUGAGGGAUUAAGAUAUAAACAUAGUCAAUGAAAUUUUGGUGUAGAGAGUCGUAAGUUAUUGAGUACAUUUUCUAGAAAUAAAAUGCAGAACUCUUAAAGUGGGUGUUGGAAUUAUUCAGGAUAAUUAUUAUCUUGAACUCAAAUUUAAUUUUUUUCUUUCCCCUUCUCUUUUUUGUACCCAAAUGUGAGAAUGAAAUUUUAGGCAAGGAACGGAAAGAGUAAACUACAUGAAAAAUUUGAAUAAUGAGUUAAGUAUAAAAUAAUAAAG
rnacentral:lncRNA from 1 species